ensembl:lncRNA
AUGUUGUUGGUGUAUGCAUUAGGAUGUUCAUUUAGAGUAUACAUCCCCAGGAAUAUCCCCUUGACCCAUGUAUUCAAGCAGUUGUUUUUCUUCUGUGUUCCUACUCCCACAGUUUUUCUUCUGAAUGUGGAUAAGGUGUUUUUUGGGUUUUUUUUGUUUUUGUUGUUGUUUUUUUUUUUGUUGUUGUUCCCUCACCCUUCUCUGUUCUGUUUGUCCUUUGUUCAUUGCCUGUAUAGAAGCUGUUGAUUGUCAUUUCUUUUUUCUUUUUCUGUUGUUUGCUCAAAUUCACCCCUUCUUUACUCCCUGCAGUUGCCUGAGCUCUUGCUCUUCUCAUUUUUUUUUUUAGUUUUGGGCUUUACUUUCAGCCUUCACCCUUGGAGCUUUGUCAGUAAAUCUCUCAAUGUAGUCUGUGGGGAAGGGGUGUUGGCUCUUGAGCUUCCCUGUCCUCUAGAGGCUUUGAUGGGAUUAAAUCCAGCAGUCUGUAGGGCAGGGGUUUUGGAGCAUGAGCUUCCCUGCCCUCUUAAGACUUUUAUGGGAUUAAGUCCAGCUGGGUUGCUUGAUAUGCCCUGAGGCCAAAACCUCGGGAAGGGUGUGGGGCAAUAUGGAGUGUCUCCACUGCUGCAACUAGGCUGCCUGCUCUGGGCUCUGCAUUUCUUCUCUAACUUCUUCCCUACUGCCUGUGUUGGACGCUCUGAGCCUGGCACAGCUUUGCCAGCAUGGUACUCCCUCCAGACCGGCACCCUUGUCUGCCCAGAAGUUUCAGCUGUCACUGGAGACUUAGAGCUCUAGGUGGAGGAGUGGUUCCGGGACCUUCCUUCUUCCUUCCCCUUAAACCAGUGUUCUAGAAUUCUGGCUUUUGGGGGCAUUCCUUUUAAGUUGAGUUCAGCAGGAAGGUUCCUUGGCUCUGUCUUGUUGUUAGGUUUGAUUUUCAGUCCCCUAGGAGUAUUUAGGUUGUAAUCAGUAAGGAAGAGUUUUCAGAGGUCUGAACUUUCCGCUGCCUCUAGGCUGUCAUCUUGGCUCCGCCUCCCUCCAAAGGGUUUUAAAUGAAAGCCUGCCCUUUGAUCCUGCCAUAGCACUGCUGACUUUGUACCCCAAAGAGAAAAUAAGGAAAAAGACUUGUAUAAAAAUAUUCAUAGCUACACUCUGUGGGAACAAAACAUUGGAAAAUGAAGAGUGAAAGAAAGGAAUAACGGAAUGCAGGAAAAGGUGAUAUGUGACAGACUGAGAAAAGCAGAUCUGGCUUGGAAGGCAAGGGAUAGAAUGUGCAGGAGAUUGUUGAAUUCUGUGAGAGUGUUCUUGCAGUUAACUGACAGCCAUGAGGAGGGAGUGAGACAGUAGUGAGACAGUCACAUCUACUGGAUUUACCUCUCCCUCUAAUCCAGAUUUCUAAUCUCCUACUUCGAUCCUUUCUCCUGUAAGAUCCCAGCCAGCAAUUCCUUCAUCCUAGAGACAUCUUCUGAACUCCUUAUAAAACUGCAAUUACCACCUGAACUACUUCACUCUGCUAAAUUCAUAUCUGUUAACCUUAUCUUGAACUUUUGGUGACUUGAUUUUUCUGGUCACUAUUUCCUAAUCCAGCUACUAGAACAGAUAAUUCAUCAAAGACUAAAUUGGAUGGGUUCAGACUAGGCAGUUAGAUAGGAAGGAUAGAAAAGUAGACAGAAAAGAAUUUAGUGUAGCUCCAGCUUUACUGGAGACUGAAGAAAGCCUUUAGGGUCAGAUAGAUCUGGAACAGAUAAGAGAUUUAAAAGCUUAGGGAACUUCCUAGCCCACCAUCCUUACCCAAAAUCUUAGGAUCACAUUUGUUAGAGCUCCAGGUCUGAGGGUAGCCACCUUGCCCUUAAGCCAGGGAGAAGCAGCUACAACAAAUUACUACUUUACAAACCUUUUGUAAGGGUCAAUAUACCAUCUUACAAGGGAUAUCCUUCGCAAUGCCUGAAUAAAUUGUGGUUUAUGUUGGUAAUGGAAUUGUGA